AAGCAUUUAUCUCCCCUUUGCUCUCACUGGU
rnacentral:piRNA from 1 species